GAUGAAGAACGUAGCGAAAUGCGAUAAGUAAUGUGAAUUGCAGAAUUCAGUGAAUCAUCGAAUCUUUGAACGCACCUUGCGCCCUUUGGACAUUCCGAAGGGCAUGCCUGUUUGAGUAUCAUGAACACCUCAACUCUCACGGCUUGUCCGUGAUGAGCUUGGACUUUGGGGGUCUUGCCGGCCUGUGGUCGGCUCCUCUAAAAUGGAUCAGCUUGCCAGUGUUUGGUGGCAUCACAGGUGUGAUAACUAUCUGCGCUUGUGGUUUUCCAUCAGAUAACCUUCAGUGAUAUGGAGGUUCGCUGGAGCUCACAAAUGUCUCUCCUUAGUGAGGACAGCUCUUUGAACGUUUGAUCUCAAAUCAGGUAGGACUACCCGCUGAACUUAAGCAUAUCAAUAAGCGGAGGA
rnacentral:misc_RNA from 1 species